rnacentral:rRNA from 1 species
AACGUAGGUGGCGAGCGUUAUCCGGAAUUACUGGGCGUAUAGCGUGUGCAGGCGGGGCUGUAAGGGGGGGAUGAAAUCUCCCGGCUCAACCGGGAUAGGUUAUGCCAGACUGCAGCUCUUGAGUGCGAGAGAGGAGCGUGGAAUUCCGGGUGUAGUGGUGAAAUGCGUAGAGAUCCGGAGGAACCCCAGAGGCGAAGGCGGCGCUCUGGCUCGCAACUGACGCUCAGACACGACAGCAUGGGGAGCGAACGGG